UCCAGACUCCUACGGGAGGCAGCAGUGGGGAAUAUUGCACAAUGGGCGAAAGCCUGAUGCAGCAACGCCGCGUGAAGGAAGACGGUUUUCGGAUUGUAAACUUCUAUCAAUAGGGAAGAAAGAAAUGACGGUACCUAAAUAAGAAGCCCCGGCUAACUACGUGCCAGCAGCCGCGGUAAUACGUAGGGGGCAAGCGUUAUCCGGAAUUACUGGGUGUAAAGGGAGAGUAGGCGGCAAGGUAAGCGAUAUGUGAAAGCCUUAAGCUUAACUAAAGGAUUGCAUAACGAACUAUCUAGCUAGAGUACAGGAGAGGAAAGCGGAAUACCUAGUGUAGCGGUGAAAUGCGUAGAUAUUAGGAAGAACACCAGUGGCGAAGGCGGCUUACUGGACUGUAACUGACGUUGAGGCUCGAAAGCGUGGGGAGCAAACAGGAUUAGAUACCCCAGUAAAA
rnacentral:rRNA from 1 species